rnacentral:rRNA from 1 species
UACGUAGGGGGCUAGCGUUGUCCGGAAUCAUUGGGCGUAAAGAGCGUGUAGGCGGCCCGGUAAGUCCGCUGUAAAAGUCAAAGGCUCAACCUUUGAAUGUCAGUGGAUACUGCCGGGCUAGAGUCCGGAAGAGGCGAGUGGAACUCCUGGUGUAGCGGUGAAAUGCGUAGAGAUCGGGAGGAACACCUGUGGCGAAGGCGGCCCCCUGGGCCGGCCCUGACACUGAGACGCGAAGGCGUGGGGAGCGAACGGG